rnacentral:lncRNA from 1 species
GUGCUUCACGUGAAUUAUUUCAUUCAUUCCUCCUGGCAGCUUGAUUACUAUUACCCCACUUUAGGGAUCGACCCUACGCCGCGGCUAUUGCUGGCCGAGCUGGGCUUCGAACUAGACUGUCUGGCUCCAAACUACUCAGCGCUGGCCACAUUUCCCUUCGGUUCCCCACCGCAGAGCCGCAGCGAUCAGGAUCCCAUUUACAAAGGAGAAAAAUGAGGCCCGGAGAGAGUAAGCUCUGUCAGGCACUGAGCGAAAUGUUUUAGUUCCUCAGCUCAUUUCCUUUCCUCAAGCUCUCUAAGAGGCGGAAUUCACGGGCCAGUAGCGAAGGAGGAAAGAGAACGAGAUAAGAGAGGGUUCGUUGGCGGUGGCUGCGCAGGUCGAAAUGGCAGCGUGAUGGAGGCACGGCCAGGUUUGGCUCCUACUGCUGUGUCGUCCCAGCUUCGUGGCCCUUGGAAGCAGCGUUGACCCAUCACGGCAACCAGACCCGGCACCCACCCCGGAAACGGAGAACUGGGAGAAGAGAAAUUACAGCCAAAUUCUGAAAGCGCGGCGCGGGUCCCCGCCUCCACAUUGUCAUUGUCGGAUCCCAGCCCCAUGCCGCGGCGCACCCUGCUCCACACUGCUCGUCCUGCCUGGCGUCUGCCCUGCUGGCUGCUGUCGCCACGCCGGGGGACUUUUCCCGCACCCAAUCUUCUGGAGCCCACACUCGGUCCCUGCUGGAGAUGCAGCGGAAGAGGGGAGGGGAGAGCGUGGGGGAGAGGAUUUGACCGAGAAAAGCCUUUGAAAGGCCGGUGGUGCAACUCCUGUCCAUUUCACUGAACGACAUCCUUAAGCCUUUUCUACUGGAAUUUCCCUCAGACAUGAGGCUAUCCUAGGGGUUCUGUUUGGAAGAAUUGCGGCA